rnacentral:rRNA from 1 species
UACGUAGGGGGCGAGCGUUGUCCGGAUUUAUUGGGCGUAAAGAGCUCGUAGGCGGUUUGGCAAGUCGGGUGUGAAAACUCCGGGCUCAACUCGGAGACGCCACUCGAUACUGCCAUGACUCGAGUCCGGUAGGGGAGUGCGGAAUUCCCGGUGUAGCGGUGAAAUGCGUAGAGAUCGGGAGGAACACCAGUGGCGAAGGCGACUAACUGGACUGUAACUGACGCUGAGGCGCGAAAGUGUGGGGAGCAAACAGG